UAUUACCGCGGCUGCUGGGCCUACGGGAGGCAGCAGUAGGGAAUAUUGCGCAAUGGGGGAAACCCUGACGCAGCAACGCCGCGUGAGUGAGGAAGGUCUUAGGAUUGUAAAACUCUUUUAUUAGGGAAAAAUGGUUAGGGAGCUAAUACCCCCUGAUUUGAUGGUACCUAAGGAAUAAGCACCGGCUAACUUCGUGCCAGCAGCCGCGGUAAUA
rnacentral:rRNA from 1 species